GUAAGAAGUCAUGACUUCAGGAUCUCUUAGUAGCCUCUGCCGACGUAGGACAUUGACAAUGAGGAAAUAGAGAACUUGCCACAGGGUAUAAGCAACUAGGGGCACCCAGAACAGCCAAGUUAACAGGAAGGAUUUGUCUUCUACUACAUAUGGCCAUGAUGCUCUUUGCGACGUUCCUUCAGGAUGCAUGGCUUCAAAGGUUGCUGGAUUCCACCACCUUAUAGUGAAGAAAACUAAACCAGGCAAAAGAUGAAUAAGGACACUGACAAGCUUGUCAACAGAACUAAAAACCAACAACGCCAAACAAUCAAUGCCCAUGCUAAUGGCCCUUCAGCAAAUGAGAAGCAAAUCAUGAAAAGCUUUUCAUCCUUUGGGUAUAAAAGAAGGUCGACCAAGAAUAUUGUAUUGGCAUAAUAACAGAAGUCCAGAAGAUAAUAAUGCCAUUU
rnacentral:misc_RNA from 1 species